AAAGGAAUAGACGGGACCCCGCACAAGCGGUGGAUCAUGUUGUUUAAUUCGACGAUACACGAAGAACCUUACCAGGUCUUGACAUACCAUGCAAAGGCUUAGAAAUAAGUACGGAGGUUAACAUGGAUACAGGUGGUGCACGGUUGUCGUCAGCUCGUGUCGUGAGAUGUUGGGUUAAGUCCCGCAACGAGCGCAACCCUUAUUGCUAGUUACCAUCAUUAAGUUGGGGACUCUAGCGAGACUGCCAGUGAUAAACUGGAGGAAGGUGGGGAUGACGUCAAAUCAUCAUGCCCCUUAUGACCUGGGCUACAAACGUGAUACAAUGGCUGAAACAAAGGGAAGCGAUACCGCGAGGUGGAGCGAAUCCCAAAAAAGCAGUCUCAGUUCGGAUUGAAGUCUGCAACUCGACUUCAUGAAGUCGGAAUCGCUAGUAAUCGCGAGUCAGCAUAUCGCGGUGAAUACGUUCUCGGGGUUUGUACACACCGCCCGU
rnacentral:rRNA from 1 species